rnacentral:rRNA from 1 species
UACGUAGGGGGCGAGCGUUGUCCGGAUUUAUUGGGCGUAAAGAGCUCGUAGGCGGUUCGAUAAGUCGGACGUGAAAUCUCCACGCUCAACGUGGAGGGGCCGUUCGAUACUGUCGUGACUCGAGUCCGGUAGGGGAGUGUGGAAUUCCCGGUGUAGCGGUGAAAUGCGCAGAGAUCGGGAGGAACACCCGUAGCGAAGGCGGCACUCUGGGCCGGUACUGACGCUGAGACACGAAAGCGUGGGGAGCAAACAGG